UGGAACAGAUUGGUACAAAACUACAAGUUUCUUUUCGUAAAACAUUUGGAUACUUAUCGUUUUGAAACGUUGCAUCUUGAAAUCACUGGCUAUUCGGAACCAUAUCAAUCGACUCCUUCCAUGACUAUAAAUUCUUUAUCUUUAGCGGGCCUAAUUUUGUCAGUUUCAGAUUCGUUGUUUUGGUUUCAGUCAUUUCAAACUCAAUAUUAGAUGAAUUGCUGAAAAGAUAAUAGUUCUUCAAUCAUGAUGGUUGUGUUUCGAAGCUUUAUAGCAGAAUUGUACAGACAGAAAGCCUUAUAGUUUUGAUCAAAACGAAUUCAGUCUGAUAUGGUACCUGAUCUAUCGCACGCACGCACAAAAUAAAGGUUUGUUAACCGAAUGUCUAUCAGUGGAUCACGCAAAAAAUAAAGUGCAACAUUCGACGGGCUUGACAUGCAACACGUGCACCAUUUCUAGGUGUCCAUUUGAUUAAACGAAACCCCAACAGAAUCAGGUCGAUCAAGUCGUACAAUACAGUAUUUGUAAGUCUCAUCAAUCAUUAGAUUUUGAAACUUAAAAAAGUCACUUUUGUUCAAUUGUUUUUCACAAGAUGGCUUGCCGUGGACUUAUCGGUGGUUCAGACAAAUUGAGAAGACGUAUUUUGAAAUUUUGGUUAACCUUCUUAUGAAAACGUGUUUUGGUUCAGAUGGAGUGAAGGUAGCAGCGGUUUAAGAAUUCGACAUUAUUGAAGUUUGUAAAAGUAGAUUUAGGUUUACAAUACCUGAUGCAAUAAACUCGGGAGGAUUGGAUUUACAAAAGAAGUCUAUGUUCAGGAGAGAAACACCCAUCAUCGAACUUUCACUAUUUCGGUUUUUGCACGCGCUUGGAUGUUAGAUCACCCCGUCUUAUUGCACCAUGAAGUUUUGAAUACGGAUAAUCAUGCAGCCUUCUAAUGUCUUCUUAUGUACGAGCACCGCCGAUUAGUACUCAUUGAAAAUGGAUGGCACCAUUUUUCCUGCCCUUGGUGUCGCAAAAGAUAGUAGUGGAUGAUGAUACCUUUGGUGCACAAAAUGCGAGACUGAAUUGGACGUACCCGUUGCAAGGUUAAGUACCACCAGAAAAUACUAUAUCAUUUCAGUUUGUGGAUGCCUAUCCAAUUGUUAUUUCACUAGCCAGUUGACCAUUUGUUUUUAGCCACCCAGGUUCGUGCUGCUCUCUGAAGUGGAAGAUAACACAAGUUCCGUUGGUUUCGUCGCACUCCAGAAGUUGGAUCGUGACACUGCUUCCCAGUGCUGUUGAGUGGGUCAGUGGUAAAAAGAGAGAUUUAGUUCAAGAUUUGGUAAAGAUUACUAUUGGUGUUGCAAAUGGAUUGUUGGUUUCUGCAACAAAUACUAAUACAGUUAUGCCAAGGCAACACUUUGUCUAUGUCGAAUCUAAGUGAAGAUAUCAAUGGACUCUAUGUAGAGAAGCAGUAUAUAGCUAGGAAAAGUGAACCAAGCUUUCUGAAUGUUCACAAAACGUAAUUUUAGUGAUGAACUUGGUUAAGCUUCAUGGCGUAGUUACAUGACAAGGAAAAUUCAAGUGAAGGCACGAGAAAGGUAACUAAAAGAGGACCCUUGAAAAACAUAAAUCAAUUGAUGAACUAGCCCGUGCAUUUGCACGGGCAUACAAGGACCUUGUAUAUAUAUAUCAAUUCUUCUUAAUAUAAAGCAGAAUGAUUUUGCUGAUGUGUCGGCUUCAUAGGAAGUUUCAGCUCUUUUGGCUGACGUGUCAUUGCCAUACUAGAUUUGAAGAGAGUGUAAAAUUUGAAAUGAAGCGACCCUUGGAAGCGCUGUACGGAAAAGACACAUUCCAGAAUCCUUUCUCUUAGUUCCGAAGAGUUCUGUUGAAGGUUACAACUUAUCGGUCACUGACUUUUAUAUAUGACACAUCAAACUGAUUCGAAGCCAGCGUUCAAACUUCGAACCCAGUGUUCUGUACACAAUUUCAUUGUCGCUUCAGUGUUCAUUUCGUUGUGGAUUUAGUGUCGUAAAAAUUUCAUGAGGACGGAAAGUAAAGCAUCCUCUCAACUGAUUCAAAGCCCGACUUAAAGCCAUUGAAUUUCGUUCUGGAUUUGGUGCUCAUAAAAAGUUCACGAGGAAGGAAAGAUAAGCAUGCUCUCAUGAGGGUGAAAGUGUACUAUUAAACUUUUUUUUCAUUUGUUAUUAGAAUAUUGUUUGGGAUCUACUGCGAUGUCCAUUUGAGGAUAUCCAGCAAUCGAUUAUUAAAUU